GGGGGGACCAUCCCUUUGUGAUAGAGGCCACGGUGACUUUCCCAAGAGAACACAAUCAAAGGGUUUUAGGGUUUCUUUUUCUUUGUGAGCGAAAAAAAUGGCUGAUGAGGGUUGUGAGAGGCUCAAGGGAACUGUCAAGUGGUUUAGUGACCAGAAGGGGUUUGGGUUCAUCACCCCCGCCGAUGGCUCUGAAGAUCUGUUUGUACACCAGUCUGGUAUCAGAUCUGAAGGAUUCAGAAGCCUAGCUGAAGGUGAGGAUGUUGAGUAUCAGAUUGAGUCUGGCUCAGAUGGUAGGGCUAAGGCUUCCGAUGUUACUGGACCUAAUGAAGCGGCUGUUAAAGGAGGUUCCCGCAGCGGUGGAGGACGUGAUGGAGGUGGUUACGGCGGAGGCGGUGGUUACGGUGGAGGCGGUGGUUACGGUGGUGGCCGAGGAGGAAAUCGUGGUUAUGGAGGUGGUGACAGUGGCUACGGAGGAGGUAGCCGAGGUGGUGGUGGCUACGGAGGCGGUGGAGGCUAUGGAGGAGGUGGCGGAGGCGGCGGAGGCUGCUUCAAAUGUGGGGAAUCUGGGCAUUUCGCUAGAGAAUGUCCACAGGAUGGUGGCAGUGGCGGAGGCGGCGGAGGUAGAUAUUCUGGUGGUGGAGGUGGUAGGUACUCCGGUGGCGGCGGCGGUGGCGGCGGAGGCUGCUACAAAUGCGGCGAAGAAGGUCAUUUCGCCCGCGAGUGCACCAGCGGCGGCCAUUGAUCGUUAUCUCUAUGUUUGUUUUUGCUGUUUUUAUGUUUCCGGUGCUUAUUGACACCGUUAGUCUUGAAUGGUUAUCUCUAGUAUUGCUUGUUUUUAUCUUAUUUUGUACUGGUGGUUGAUGGUAGUUAGUAGUAUCAUGCUUUUUGUAAUGGGGAGUUAUAGUUUUGUUGGUGCGACAAUGAAUACUCUCUGUACAUGUCGACAUUCAUGUUUUCGAAAGCAAUAUCAAUUAUUA
rnacentral:misc_RNA from 1 species